UACGAAGGGGGCUAGCGUUGCUCGGAAUCACUGGGCGUAAAGGGUGCGUAGGCGGGUCCUUAAGUCAGGGGUGAAAUCCUGGAGCUCAACUCCAGAACUGCCUCUGAUACAGCACGUCUUGAGUUCGAGAGAGGUGGGUGGAAUUCCUAGUGUAGAGGUGAAAUUCGUAGAUAUUAGGAAGAACACCAGUGGCGAAGGCGGUUACCUGGAGCUUUGCUGACGCUGAUGCGCGAAAGCGUGGGGAGCGAUCCGG
rnacentral:rRNA from 1 species